AACAGAUAUUAACAUAUCAACAAUGGAAAUCAAUACUCGAGUACUAUAUUCAAUGUCGUGUGCAGAUCGCGUUUACUGUUUAGAGUCAACCUUGCGUCGCUCCAGCGUCACAUUUUACUCAUCGCAUCACGAAUUAACAUUUUCCGGAACGUGCGCUUUUAUGAUCAACCGUAUUAUGUAAUUAACCGUAACGCGAACGUUUUGACGCAUUUGGGCUUGCAAGGGGCGUUGCCCAACCGUUAGCAAUUACGUACAACCAAGACGCAUUUAGCGUGUUUGACAAAAAAAAUCACAAUGUUUUACGUAGAUAACGAGCCCAAAAAAUCUUGUACAAACACACGCAAAUAUUUCAGCGAUCGAGUUGGCUUGUACACAAACAAAAUUAUAUAAUGGGUGAACGUUUUUGGUGUCACAAGGUUGACAGUUCUUACUUCUUUUGCGGUAAUGAGACAAGUCUAGGAAAAUCUUUAACUGCAGGGAGAACAGAAAUAACUUUGUAUGGGCUUAUUUUAUGUAAAUACUUCUAUUUCUGUGUAUGCUCAGCAUUUAAAAUCUUAACUACAGGCCAAUAUUUACAUUUAAGAUAAGACUAAAAACAUAUUUACUCAUGAUAUAAACAUAUUAAAUAAAAUUUUUGGUAAGGGAAACUUUGACAAGAGAAUAAAAAUGCUUUAAAAGCAUUUAUUCACCGUGAAGUCUGGGACUUAUCUAGGACAACUUGACUAAGAUAUCACUUGCGAAAAGCUGAAAUCACACAUUGACUUUGCCACUAAAACAAAAGUAUUCAGCAAAAAAAAAAUACAAUUCAAACAAACAUUAAAACCAUAAAAUAUUUUGUGAUUUCACCAAGUCACAUACAUUUUGUGCAACUGUGCCAACUCUGUUUUAUAGUAGGACAGCCUAAAAAUAGUGGGCAAACGUAAAUUCAUUUCAAGAUAUGAGAAUGUCAAUGUUAAUGCUAGAGGUGUUAUGGAAUUUCAUUAACAAUGCAAUGUUUUAAUUAUAUUACAUGAAUAUUCUACUUUAGAAUUUCUACCAUUUUUGUUUUCAUUGUCUGCCAAUUUCAAGGCCAAGUGUUAAUUAAAAGAUAUAAAUUUAUUAUAAUAAGACAACAAACAGUUAAAGCAAGCCUCAUUUCCUAUGCUAAUCUGUACAUUCCUACCAAGAUCAUUGUACAAUUACUACAUGCAUUUCUUAAAAGGUUACUUGUCUGAUAUACAAGGAAUAAAUUAUAAUGAUUUUACUUGUUUCAAAGUGUAAUAUAUUUAUGUAAGUUUCCACUACUAUUGCCUGAAUAUAUAUUUAAGAAUAAUAAUAGACAUCAGAACAGUAUGGCAAUGUAAUUCCAAAAUAUGCCAAAAUCUUCACUGUGAUGCAUUUUAAGUGUUAAUUUCCAGUUGCAAUUCAAGAUCUAGGUUGGCUGUAAAGGGCAUGGUUAACUAGAAGUUGUAUAAAAUGGAAGUUAAGCUUGAAUGAGGAGGUAGCGACGGUCGUGUUGUGUAAGGUCAACCUAUACGGCUGAAAGCGUGUUAUUGAUUAGCAAAAGUAAUAUAAAUUAAAAAUAUCCUCGGGUUUUUGCAAUUCACUCACGAGACGGAAAACCCAUUACUAUGAGAGACAGGUACCUCACAAUGCGUUGGGAACCUUGAAACCGGUAUGACGAUGUGCGAAAUACUUCCGGAUGCGAGAAAAAUCAUUCAAAAUUUGAGAAGACACGAGCGUAUUGAACGACGCUUGCUUUCAUACUUCGCAAGGCACUUACUCGAAUUACUGUGUACGCGGCUGUCUUUGGCAAAAAAUAUCGCAACUCAGACACUAAUAAUCAGCUGGGAAUGUCGCUUACUACAUCUCUUAUAAUUUGUUUAUAGAUCGGGAUAUAAAAACAGCUGUCACGUUAUGUAAACUCCGAAAAUAAAUGAAAAUGUACUUACAACAACG
rnacentral:lncRNA from 1 species